UCGGUUGCCGUGGAUACAACAACAAACCCGUUAACUCCACUGCCAAACAGCCACCACAUCUAUUGGUCAAACAGAGCUAGACAGACAAGGUUCACCCAAAUUUGUAAGCCAGGCUGGGGAUACAAGCUACCUCAGUCCCUGCUUCUAAGUCCCUACGGUUAGGUGUUUGUAAGAUUUUUGUAUUUUUUUGCCGUGUGAGAUGUAGUUGUUGCAGAGAUGCCUAUAUCUUCUGGAGCUGAGGGUAGAGUAGAUGUGGGGAUAGAUACAUCCAUAGCGUGGACACCAGAUGGGGUGAAGAAAGAGGCAAAACCGGUCAAGAACUGUGAUUCCUAUUUAAGAAGGCAUCUGGAAAGCCAGGCAUGGAAGAAAGAGCACAAUAGCACCAUUUUGGGGCAGGAUACCAGUCAACACCGUGCUGGUCCAGAUGGAGAGAACAUGGACACUUUCUCACCUGGUGUGAGCAGAGAUCCUAACACGCAACAGAAGAAUGGAGGCAGUGACGAAGGCAAAGCCUCAGGAAAACAAACCAACGAGAAGAGCUCGAAAAAAUCCCAAACAUGUACCCUUCUUUAGAGACACAGCACUAUGAAUGGGAUGCCCAACACCACGUUUUACUUAGUGCCAUAUAAUCCCAUUGUAUGGAGUCUUUAUGAUCACCCCAAGUUCUCUUCCUUGCCUGUUACUGUGAUGAAUCAUAGAAACAACAUAGGGAGAGGGAGAAUAUAUGUUAAGGGGAAUGACUGUGUAACUGCAAUCCAUGCCUAUCACUUUGCCUACCGAACAAUCGCCUUUUGUUAUUAUUGUACUGUUUGGCUCCCUUUCGUAACCUAUGUACGACUCGUGUCAACAGUACCGGAAGCAAAACAUUUCAAAGCGUCAACUGACAAGCGUUUUUCUGAUUCUGACUACCUUGUUCUGGUAGCUUAGCUUGCUAAUGAACACACCACUAAAAAAGAGAGAACAGCUGUGGGCUCAUGUUUAUUUCCAAACGAUUAGCAGUAAUGAUUGAUCAACUGGCAGUAAGGAUUGAUCAACUGGCUCUGAAACGUUUCAGCAGCUCAUACAAUUAUAAACAACAGG